AAAUACAAUUAUUUAUUCGAUACUGGUCGAAUAAUGAUAUUUUGAAUAAUGAUAUUUGAGUUUUUUUUAGUACUUCAGUGUUUUGUCUUUUUUCACACAUUUCUCUGGAUACUAAUCACCAAACUGUGAUGUAUUUCGCGACGAGAAGUCGUAAACUUACAUAAUUUAAAAAAUAUAAAGAUCAUCGAAUUUUUAUUAGUAUUCAAUUCAAUUUUGAUUAGUAUUCAGAGAAAUAUAUGAAAAAAGAUAAAACACUGAAUAAAAAUUCAAAUAUUAUUUGCACCCAUGUCUACAGUAUCCGAUUUAUUCGAACAAAUUAUUUCAUCCAUUUAUUCGAACAAGCUAUUCUAUCUAUUUAUCCGAACAAACUAUUACGUUUAUUUAUUCGGGCAUUAUACUAUUAUUCGAAUCAUAAAGCGAAUAUUUACUAACUGUUUUUGAUUUUACAUAUUAUAGUUUUAUGAGGAUAUAUUUUAUACGAAGACAUUGAAGAUCAAGUCAAUUAGCAUACAGUGAUCGAAAUAAUUUUCUUCGUGGAAUAAACAUGCGCUUAAUAUGCAGGUUUUCAGUUUGUAUGUUAUUGUUUAUAUUAAUAAAUAAUUAUUUUUCAGUUAGACUGCGGAACCUCUGCCAAUACAUACGGCGAAAAGCACGGUGAACCGUAUAAGGCGUAUAGAAAAUUGGAAAAUUGCUCGAAAAAGCGUAAAAAUAAACAGCAUAGUGUAAAGAAUAGCGUUAAUAAUAAAAUUUAUGAUUGGUUUUUGUAGAUUUUUAGGGGUUCCUAUUUUGGACAAAAUCCUGCAGACACCGGAUCAGGUGUCUAUUACGAACUAUCUCAUGUAGAUGUGAAGAUAUUUUAGUCCAUAACCGCGAUUCUUAAUUUCAAGCAAGUCGCGGAUGAUUAUGGAGAUUUGAGCAGACGGCAAUAUUUGAGUGACGGCGUCGGAGGAGAGGACAAGUGCCGACACCGCUGCAGCGGAGGCGUUCGCCGAGAGUAUUUCAACAGAGAAUCCAGGAAGAGACUUUUUCCUGGGAGUAUAUUUAUAACAUUGAUAAAACCAGAAUUUUGUGGGAAUAUAUUUCCAGGAAAACGCUUGCCGGAUCCUCUGAAAGAAAGGUUUAUGGUAAAAGAGCUCUGAAAUACCACCGCGUGGUCCUCCAGCAGGAUGCUGUCGAAAAUAUGAUCCUGCUACUGGAUAAUUGUACUGCACACGGGAUCGACGGACAAUCUGAAAUGGACACUCAAUUUGAAAUUGUUGAUAUUUUUGAUAUUAUUGAUAUUUUUGUCAAAAUUAAGAACACUUACCGACACAAAUUCUUGCAAAAUUUUUUGCAGUCCGAGGAUGAUGUUGGAGGGAGGGAGGGAGGGAGGGAGAGAGAGAGAGAGAGAGAGAGAGAGAGAGAGAGAGAGAGAGAGAGAGCGAAAGAGAGAGAGAGCGAAACUACCUGGGAUGGCAGCGGCCAGCAUGUUGAUGUGUAUUACUACGAAUAUAUUGUAAUGCUAGGAUAAAAACGAUGACUUUAUUAUUUCUAAUUUUUUAUACAUCAAAAUUGUUUAGUAUAUUGGUCAGAUUUUUCCAAUUAAAAUGAUACCAAACACAACAUUCUUUAGACCAUACUUACUCAUUAUACGUUGCAAGUAACUUAUUUUAUUUGCGAAAAAAGUAUUAGAAAAACCGAUUCUUAACAUAUGAAAUAUUAAAGGCAACAAAGAAGGUACGUAUGUCGUUCGAAAGAAAAUAUCAGUGAAGUUAUGCUACUCGAGCCUAUAUUCGACAACGGUAAGAAGAGACUGUGGCUGAGUUAGAUGCCGAUAGGAAGAAGCCAUGGCUGAGUUAGGUGACGGUAGCAUAAGACAUCGCUCGGUUCGACUGAGGACGAGUCUACGCGUUUGGCGGAGAGUGUAAUGGAACACUUUUCUGUACGUUUUGCAUGAACCCUGGAAUUUUAAGAGGUCGAACAUCGAGGAAGAACGACACUGUUUAUAUAUGAGAUCCUCGAAACUCAGCGCCGAUAGCACAACGGAUCGCAGAUGUGGCGACUAAGUACAAGGGCUGGAACCGAAGCCACGUUUUCUUAUAAGGACGAAAGUCAACUUGUUACUCUUAUUUCAAUCGUUUUUACAACGUAACAACGGCAAUAUUCAUAAAGCAAUGAAGCAAUUACCAAAGUAAAAGUCGCCCAACGUGCUAACUUUACCCUCGUUGAGUAUCUCUUAUUAGAGAGUCUCUAAAAUGAUGCAUGUAUGGUGAGACAGAUGAAGACGGAAAAGUAUAGUAUAACAAAUAAACCUUAAAUCCAGCAAUUAUUUUUGUGUGUGUUUUGUUGUGAAUCCCACAUAUUAUUACGCCAUCGCAGAAGUCCACGCAUCGAGACAUUUAUUGUUAUUUAUUUAUAUUAUUAUUUAUUAAUAAUGUCACCUGUCUUGAUCGCUAGGUGACCAGUUAUCAACUGACGGCCCAACAGAUUCGUAGUAACCUCUUCUAUUAUCUUUUUAGGGGUUGUUCGCCGCAGGACAGCCGAUGUAAUAAUAUUCUAAAAACAAUAUACCUACAAAAAUAAUAUUAAUGUCCAUGGCUUUUACGUUGCGUGUCUCGCUCUAAACAGACGUGAAUAGAUUGGAGACCUAAUUAUGCAGAACAGGUUGAACCAUAAGAUUUCGCAGCCAUCGUACAUUGCGGGAGAAGAAAUUGCUUCGUUACAUAAAUGAGGAAAUUCGGCGAAG